AUAGAGACCAUGCUGUGCUUUCGAAACUACCCCCUGAAUCACUUUCCCGGAUCCUCAUUUUCCUUCUGCGAAUCCCUUCACGUCAUCUCUUUCCUCCUGCUUCAUUGAGAGGAAGUUCCCUAAAAUGAAGCAUCGGACGGGAUUGUACUGGCCUUGUCUCCCUCCACCCCCAUUUAAAAAAGCCACUCGCCCGGUGCUGUAUCGCUUAGGGGUGGUAAGCAGUCACCUCCUGGUGGUGAAGGCAUCUCCCUACCUGCCUGCCGUGUGCAAACCCAUGUCUAGGCCCGUCAGAGAACAGAAGGAACACGCAGUCCUGUGGCUUCAGGGCAGUCCGUCCGGGGAGGGGGUAAGCCCAUCCCCGAGGACCCUCGUGGUCACGAACCCUCACAUCCUCCCGGUGAGUGGACGACACCCGUGUGUGCUGCCCUGCAGGCUCCCGGGCACCUCCUGAACGUUCCGUGUGACCCACGUCAGCAUGGGGUCUUUAAUGUGAUUCGCUGUGUCUCAUCCAGACGUCCCCCGUCAUCACUGAAAACCAACCACUGGCUGUCAGAGCGCAUGGGACAUGGGAAAACUCCCUGUAUGAAGGUGUCAGAAGGCAAAGCGAAGCCCACAGCGCUGCUCCCACCACGGCAGGGAGGCCGGGAACCCGCUCACGGCCUGCCGCCAGGAAGUGCGGAAGAUUUUAGGGAAUGAAUGCUGUUGACUAACCUCACCAGUCCCUCCGUCUCCCUGUCCGGACCCUCACUGUGUCUCUUCGUCUUGCUUCACUGUGUAAUAUGUGUCUCUGGAAGCUCCCUUCAACCACUUUUUGAAAAAGAAGUUGAGGUGUACAUGAAUCAACUUGUACCGUGGGGAUGCCAAAAGCUUUUUGGCAAAAGAACAGAAGGCGAAAAUGUCUCGGGUGCACCCGGUAUCUGUGUUCUCCAGAACAGUCCACCGUGAACGCACUGCGUGGGGACAGCUGCCGUCACGGCGGGAAGGCCAGCACAGUCCUGAACAGAGGACUGAAGGAAAUAAUAAUGUCUGUGUUUAUCCCAAAAGCAGAAGCACUGAUACACACCCUUACAUAAUGCAAUAUUGUUGUGAACGGCGGCAUUAAAUACUGUGUCGCCUCUCAGA